UGUUGAUCUGAAUAAAUCUCUAGGAGGAGUUCGUUAAAGUACAACCCCUGAAAAUGGCAAAAACGACACAAAUUUUGCAGAGAAAAUUCAAAAUAACUGACUUCCUGUUGGGAUUCGAAUUUCGUACCAAGAGACUUUUUUGUAGGUAUUGGUGUGUUACAUGUGUGUACCAAUUUUUGUACAUGUACGUGAAACGUAGCUCGAGGCACACUCCGUUAAACAUGUAUAGGUGGCGCUAUCGAGGCAUUUUGCCACACCCGAUGGAAUAUUGGCCUUCAGAUGUGUUCAGGCCAGGACUCUUAUCAAACAUGUGAAGUUUGGGCAAGAUCGGAUGUUUUAUGCCUGAGUUAGAAUAACAUUUAUUCCCAUGGCGAGACAUCGAACUUUGUCACGGCGCCAUGGACACG
ensembl:lncRNA